rnacentral:rRNA from 1 species
AACGAACGCUGGCGGCAUGCCUAACACAUGCAAGUCGAACGAGACCUUCGGGUCUAGUGGCGCACGGGUGCGUAACGCGUGGGAACCUGCCCUUAGGUUCGGAAUAACUCAGAGAAAUUUGAGCUAAUACCGGAUAAUGUCUUCGGACCAAAGAUUUAUCGCCUUUGGAUGGGCCCGCGUAGGAUUAGCUUGUUGGUGGGGUAAUGGCCUACCAAGGCGACGAUCCUUAGCUGGUCUGAGAGGAUGAUCAGCCACACUGGGACUGAGACACGGCCCAGACUCCUACGGGAGGCAGCAGUGGGGAAUAUUGGACAAUGAGCGAAAGCCUGAUCCAGCAAUGCCGCGUGAGUGAUGAAGGCCUUAGGGUUGUAAAGCUCUUUUACCAGGGAUGAUAAUGACAGUACCUGGAGAAUAAGCUCCGGCUAACUCCGUG